UUAAGCAGAUAUUCGGACGUACUGUAUGGCGUGUCAAUUUUCUAGAAAUAUCUAUUUGAGAACUACAACUACAAAAGUUUGUUGUCGUCAUUGGUUAGUUGUUCGGAAGACGAGUAGGUUUCGGUUGAUUCAGUGUCCGAAGUGUCCGAAGAAGUUAGUGUAACAUUUCUUUCUGUGAUGCAAAUAAACGUCAAUUUUUGUGCAGCUCAAUCUGAACGGAACGAGUAUAGAAGAGUUUGUGUUAUUCUUGAAGUAUUUCAUUGCGAUGCGGCUCAUGUCGGCGCAGUAAUUCGAAAGAUAAAUGAAAUUAAUGUCAAGUAUGAUGUCCAAGUUCACAUACACAAGUUUCGCAAUAAAAUUACUAUUUGGGGUUAGAAAGAAAAUUACUGAUGCCAUUGGAGUUAUUGGUGAUAUGCUGUCUUAUGAGAUGAAUAAAAAUUCUACACCUUGAAAUCUUAACAUAACCAUUCAAGAUUCGUCCGGAAAUAAAGACGUUCAGCUUGGAAAUCACGAGACUGCAACUUUAAACUAUAUACAAUAGUAUUAUUGGCAAAAAACGCAAUUCAAAAUCAUCUUUGAGAAUGAGAAAGAUGGUAACAAUCUGAAUCCCAAUACGAAAAAUUUGGGUGUUGGUAGUGCUGAGAAUAAAGCAUCAAUAAGAAAGCUGAAGAAUGUCGUGAAGUAAGGUUGGCUCAAUUCCAGAACUGAGAAAAAGUUUUUAUCAAGAAGUAGAGAAAAUUGCAGUAAUGACUGAACUGGAAGCAAAUAAAUUGCGUUCUUUGAGCAAUAAAAUCACCGUUUCUCGUUUCAUAACUGAUAAGGAUAUAAUGUGUCAUGAAAUACUAAAACCAAUAUGGAAAAGUGAACAUUGUUUUAAAGAUUAUCCUGAACUGCUGAGUAAAAUAGGGAAGCAAAAUUUUGACACACCAUCCCCUAUACAGAAGCAAGCAUGGCCCAUGUUUCUUAAGAACAUUAAGUCUAAACCAAGCGAUAAGGUUCUUCUUUUGUUUAUUUCAUUUUAAAAUAAUUUGGAGAUAUUUAGUUCAAAGUGAUCCAUGAUUUA